AAACUACCUAAUUGAGUUUAACAGUUGAGAUAAAGAGCUUGGAUACACAGUGUGAACCUCUGUGGUACUUGAGUCUAUUCCUUUGAGGGUCAUUGACUGAGCUGGUGCAGAUGCAUCCCCUUUUCUUGUUCAGUCAAGACCUGGAUCUUUUUCUGUCAUUGAUGUUAUGAGGAAACACGAAGUUUCCCUUUACUGUGUAACUACUAUAUUUUAUUGAAACUAGAGUCAGUGUUAAGAUGUGUCUUGAUUUCAGAGAUAAAACUGUGUUACCUUAGAAUUAAUGAAAUAUCAACGUGGUUUUGUUCCAGGGGCCAUUAUUUAACCUGUGAGUCGUUAAUGGUGAUACUAUAGUCAUCUCUUUACUUCUAAAUAUAAGUGGUAAUUAUAUUGCAGAGUGGACAAAUGUGCUUUUUUAGUCGGCAAGUAACGUGUUUAAUUUUUUCAACCUUGCCUCUUUAUCUUACAAACAUUUUAAUUUCUUUAAAACAUUCUUAAUGGGCUGCUAGUUUUUUUUUAAAUCCUCAAAAUUUAAUUAAGGAAGAAAACUCUUUCACUGAUUAUGAAGUAAACAUGAAAAAGUAUUCUUUGUAGGUAUUAAUGUCUUUUGCAGCUCCCAGACACCAUUAAUAAACACUCUUGUAAUGGAGGUUAAAAGUGAGAGUUCAUACCUAAAUAACCUACCAUGUAAUUAUGCCAGAUUAUAUCUAUUGUGAUUAUGUCCCGCAAUGAAUAUUCAAAUAAUCAAAAUUUAAAGUUAAAAAAUUCAUAAUUUGGAAACUUGUCUAAGGACCUUUUAAAGGGAAAGCAAGGAAAAAAUUAAAAUGUAAAAUUAACAUCACCAAAAAUAUAAAAAUGUCUGGUACAGAAAUUAUGGCUUUGUUUAGCAUUUUGCAAAUAUUUACUAACUUCUUGUAAGGAUUAUUAUUUUAGACAAGAUUGGAAACUUACUUAAAAUGGUAAAACUUAAGUUAAAAGUGAAUUAUUUUAGAAUUUGAUAGGAUAUAAGAUGUGCCCCUUUGUCUACAUAAAUGUUGAUUUAAUUUUCAGGCUAGGUUGAAACAAUUGGUUAUUUUGUGUAGUCAAGAGUGCAUUAUAUUCUUUCAAUAGUAAUACAUCAAAUUACAACCAUAUCAUUUCAUUAAUCUUGUCCCUUUUAGUAUCUUGAAUAGAUUUUUAUUGUGAUUGUCCUGGUGAAACAGUGUGUGGACAAUAUUGUGUAAAGAGUGGUUUUUUUGCAUUUGUGCAUUUUAAAUUAUUUAUGUAACUAGGGCUCUGAGUAACACGUUUUGUUUUGUUUUGUUUUGUUUUGCUUAAAGAAAAGCUAUAUUUAAAUAUUCAAAUAAUUAUAUAUUUCCAUGUAAAACUAAUGUGAAGACCGAUGUAUUUUUUAUAAUGCAAUUUAAAGUGUAAACUUGUUUUGAUGUUAUCAAGAUAAAUUUAUUAAAUAUUGAAAUUUGUGUGUACUCUCUCCUAAUGUUAGAACCUUUUUCUGGAAAUACUUAAAAAGAAUCAGAGAGUAAUUAAGGCUGAAGUAAUUCUGUAAAAGGCCUGAGAGAUGAUAAAUAAGAGAAUGCAAAUGUUGAUGCUGGCGAGAAAAUUGUUUAACCAAAGAUACAUAGGUUGUACUCACAUAAGUAAUUAUUUCAAAAGAUUAAACAACCACUAAUUUGCCUGGAGGAGUGAUGGGGCAGCUGUUUGACUAGCACGCCUGCACUGAAAGGAUUGAGUUCAGGAGGCAGGAUCCAUACCACCAUCUGACGCCCUCUGGGAAAUGACCAACCCCAAAGCCUUCCAUCUCUCUCCGUGUCUUCUGGUGCCAUAGCAUCUGACAGUGAUGACAGGAUGGCAUGGACAGGUGCCUGAGAGAAUAGUGACAUAAGUGCUUCUGACCCUAGAAUUACUGACUUGGAACAUUUGUUGGUCAGGGAUUUUCGAGUGAGAAUUAUCUUCCUAUUUACAAUGAGAAGUUACUACUUUUUAGUAAAGGACUUUUAUGUUUAGAAACAUGGAAUUAUAGAAUUAUACACCAAAAUGCCAACUCAAGUAAAUUCAAAGUGAGGAGACAUAGCUUUUUUUCAUCUCUUACUCAGAUGAACUCAAAUAUUGAGGGAAAAAUUAGUUAAAACAUUUCCCUUUCUUCUUAUACUUCAUGUGUGUAAAGUUCUAAGUGUUUUAAGCCAUGGGCUUAAUUUUUCAAAAUUAUUUGCUUUAAAUAAAGAUUGAAUUCAGG
rnacentral:lncRNA from 1 species